rnacentral:lncRNA from 1 species
CUGCAUUCCUGUGGGCAGGCCCAGUCUACACCGACAUCGGGAGACCUUCGUGCCUGGUGUCCAUUUCCCCAACUCUAUAGACUUCUCCCCUCCUGGGUCUGCUGCCUGGAGUCCAGUCACCCUGGGUCCCCUCAUUUCCCAGUCCAGCUCCCUGGUGCAGUCUGUGGUAUAGCCCUCUCCUCCCUAAUUAAUUCCUCUUCUAGUCAUAAUGACCAUCGAGGAGUGGCAUGGAAUUAAAGUCUCUGACUUUGGUUCUUUAGAAGCUGAAGAAAAUUACAAUUGUUUCAAUAUCUAAGCCUGUUUUUCAGCCCUCUUGUCCUGUGAAGGGGCUAAGUACCUUCCCUCUGUUGUCCCAGGGCCAUAAGUAUGGAGACCACAAAAGGCAUAUGUUUUAUAGGGGGCUGUUAAGAUGCAUACUUUCCUGUUUGCUGUACAUGGCUGUUUAGCAGAAGCUGCGCUGGGAUUGGAGCCUCGGUCUCUGUCCUCAAAGCCCACAUUCUCACCUACUACAACACCUUGGCAGGCUGCAGGUGGACAGAGGCUGUUAAGUUUCCAGGCAUUCAGGCAGUUAUAUUUCCCAGUCCCCUUGCAGCUUUCUUGGUGGAGUCUAAGGCUUUCUGUUGUGAUUGCAGUGCCGUGGAAUGGAAAAGCCUACUUUCUAUCACUUCCUGGAGGUUUGUCCGGAACCACAGCUGGCUUUGAGGGAGUGAGAAAUAAAUGUGUAAAGCCACUGAGAUUUUGGAGUUGUUUGUUACCACAGUAUGACCUCCCUUGACCAGGGGUUGUUGGAAAGCUUUUCCUACAAAGGGCUGGAUAUUUUAGAUUUUACAAGUCAUAUGGUCUCUGUCACAACUACCAACACUUUUCCAUUGUAGCAGAAAGCAGCCAUAGAUAAUAUAUAAAUGAAGGAGCAUGGCUGUGUUCCAAUGAAACUUUGUUAACAAAAAUAGGUGGUAGAUUUGGCCCGUGGACCAGCAUUUGCAG